rnacentral:lncRNA from 1 species
GGGUCAAGAUGAAGGCGGGUUCUGGACAGACGUACCCAGUCAGGGAAUGUUUACUUUGCCUCCACUUCUGUUCCUCCCCGCCCUGGUGCUGCUCCGGGUCACAUACUCGUCCUGAGCCGGCUUCAGCCUCUCCGCGCAGAAGUCUCCCGGAGCCGACUUCUGAGAGUCGAGUACUCCUAUGUGAAGACUACCAAGCUCGUGUUCAAGGGAACCAAGGCGAAGAGUAAGAAGAAAAAGAACAAAGAUAAGAAAAGAAAAAGAGAAGAAGAUGAAGAAACCCAGCUUGAUAUGUUGGAAUCUGGUGGACAGUAACAAACUUUGGUGAAAUUUCAGGAACCAUAGCCAUUGAAAUGGAUGAGGGAACCUAUAUACAUGCACUCGAUAAUGGUCUUUUUACCCUGGGAGCUCCACACAAAGAAGUUGAUGAGGGCCCUAGUCCUCCAGAGCAGUUUUCGGCUGUCAAAUUAUCUGAUUCCAGAAUCACCCUGAAAUCUGGCUAUGGAAAAUAUCUUGGUAUAAAUUCAGAUGAACUUGUUGUUGGGCGUUCAGAUGCAAUUGGACCAAGAGAACAAUGGGAACCAGUCUUUAAAAUUGGGAAAAUGGCUUUGUCGACCUCAAAUAGCUGCUUUAUUAGAUACAGUGAAGCAGAGGACAUAGAAGCAAAAAGUAAAACAGCAGGAGAAGAAGAAAUGAUCAAGAUUAGAUCCUGUGCUGAAAGAGAAACCAAGAAAAAAGAUGACAUUCCAGAAGAAGACAAAGGAAAUAUAAAACAAUGUGAAAUCAAUUACGUAAAGAAAUUUCAGAGCUUCCAAGACCACAAACUUAAAAUAAGUAAAGAAGAGAGUAAAAUUCUUAAAAAGGCUCAGAAAGAUGGAUUUUUGCAUGAAACGCUUCUGGACAGAUAAGUGAUGGCCUAGAUUUACAACAUAGAAAAACAGAGAACCAAAUUGAAAGCCGACAGAUACUGCAGAUGACUGGGAUUUUUGUUUCUGUCUUACCUUUUUGUGUUUUUUUUCUGAAUAAAAUAUUCAGAGGAAAUGCUUUUACA